rnacentral:rRNA from 1 species
GACGAACGCUGGCGGCGUGCCUAAUACAUGCAAGUCGAGCGGACCGGCUUGGGGCUUGCCUUGAUUCGGUCAGCGGCGGACGGGUGAGUCACACGUGGGCCACCUGCCCGCCAGACCGGGAUAACUCCGGGAAACCGGCUCUAAUACCGGAUAACACCGAGGACCGCAUUGUCUUCGGUUGAAAGGCGGCCUUUGGGCUGUCACUUGCGGAUGGUCCGCCGGCGGAUUAGCUAGUUGGUGAGGUAACGGCUCACCAAGGGGGCGCGGCGUAGCCGGCCGGAGAGGGUGAGUAGCCACGCUGGGACGGAGACAGGGCACAGACUGCUACGGGAGGCAGCAGGAGGGAAACGGGCGGAAGGGGCGGAAGACUGACGGAGAGGGGCCGAGGGAGGGAAGAAGGACGUCGGGUCGGAAAGCACGGUUGUGAGGGACGAAGGAGCGUCGGUCGAAGAGGGCGGGGGAGUGACGGUACCUGACGAGAAAGCCCCGGCUAACUACGUG